rnacentral:misc_RNA from 1 species
AUGAUAUUGAUUAUUGUUGUUGGUUGAAUAUCUAUUGGGAAUUGCGAAUCGCCGAGUGCGUCUUUUUCAUUUUCUUUCCUCCACAAAUUUUGGGAUUUGGGCUGGGGUUUUGUUAUACCUCUAUUUCUGACUUAAUUUUACGCGAUCUUGUUUCUUGGGAGUUGUGAAUCCCAACUCGUAUUUUUAGAUUCUAAUUUGCUCGUACAACUUUUUAUCUAAUCUCGGAUUCUAUGUUGUUGCUUUAUGGAUUAUGUGUUCUUUUCAAUUGCUUUUGGAACUGAAGUUCAUUAUUAGUUAUUAAUUGUCGUAUGUAAACUCAUGUCUAUGAACGAACGCUAAUUGAAAUUACUGGGAGCUCGUCUGAGUUUGGUACUAUUCGGUGUUUUGAAUUGAACUCUUAAAAACUAUGUAGAGAGUUGGGAAAAUGUGGAUAUCUCUGGGAAGUACUGAUCCUUUUUUCUUGAAUUGAUGCUGUUUAUGUUUUAGUUAGUUUUUUUUUCUAAUGGUUCUAGUAUUAUGAGAUAAGGGAGCAGGUGCAGUCAUGCUCAACAUGCUACUGCAUAUGCCUAUUUUAGAUAAGUUGAUGCCAAUUAUUCUCUGAUAAAACUUCUUCCAUAAUGUGGAUGCUGAUUUUCCUUUGGAGGCAGUAUUUAAGAGGCACUGCAAAAUAGUGCAUCUGUCACAGUUGACAAAAGAUAACUUUGUACGUGUUUCAUUGGCAGGAUCCUGAUCUUGUGGUGGAGGCAAUGACUUCAACUGGUUCAUCUCAAUCAACAAAACCUUCUUCAUCCUCCUCCACAUCAUCAGCAACUUCAAAUGACCAAACUCGACAACGGAACACAGGGUCAACUACAAGGACCUCUGGGACAUCAGCAAGUGCAGGUCCAAAUACUAGUCCUACUUCUGUCCGCUGGGAUCGACAAACUAUUCAAUUUUCUGUCAAUGCUUGGGUUUUUGUUGUGGCUGUGCUUGCAAUCAUUCCUCUUGUACCCAAAAAUCUUUCAAAUAGGGCAUAUCGGCUGUCAUUUAUGGGCACUGCUUGUUCAUCACUGUAUUCUUUAUACACACUUUAUGGGAGACCAAGGGCUUGGAAUUUGCCGGCUUUGCAAGCUUAUUUUCAGUCAAUAAUUGCAACCAAAGACUUUAUAUACUUCAUCUACUGUCUUACAUUUGUCACUUCACAUCUUUGCCUCAAAUUUGCUUUAAUUCCGAUUUUAUGCCGAGCACUGGAGCAGAUUGCAAAGUUUUUAAGGCGCAAUUUCACUCGUUCCACCUUAUACAGGAAGUAUCUUGAAGACCCAUGUGUGUGGGUGGAAUCAAACACAACUACCCUGAGCAUUCUUUCCUCGAAUGCUGAAAUUGGACUUGGCUUCCUUUUAAUAAUCUCUUUGUUCUCGUGGGAGCGCAACAUAAUACAAACUUUCAUGUACUGGCAGCUUUUGAAGCUGAUGUAUCAUGCACCUGUGACUGCUGGUUACCAUCAGAGUGUCUGGGCCAAGAUUGGAAGGACUGUGAAUCCACUUGUUCACCAAUAUUGCCCAUUCUUGAAGACACCAAUUUCUGCUGCUCAAAGAUGGUGGUUGAGAUAGAUAGGCAAAGUUGAAAAUAGGAAGCGAAAAAGAAUUAUUCAUCUUGGAAUUUUCUCUAUCUUUAAUUGGCAUUAAAUUUGGAAGUAAGGGCACUAACUUCAGAUAUAUGGCGUAGCAGCUGCCAUUAUGAUUGUGGAUUAAUAAAACCUUUCCUGUUUUCAUAACUACUGAUUCUGCUUGGUUUCCCUUUUUGAUAAUUUCUCUUUCCCUAAAACGUACUGGGGGAAUCAAAUGAUUUAAUUUUAAAAUCUUAUAUUUAUGGGUUAUGCAAUUGUCAAGUCUUCUACAAUUGGAAAUUUGUAGUUGUCAAGAAAUCAAUGGUUUAUUAUUAAAAUUAUCAUUUUAAUUUAAAAUAAUUGUUUACCCUCACAAUUGGGGAUUGUUUUAUUUGUAUGAUGAUCAAAUCAUUUUCUUGAAACGCAGAUUUGAGUAGACAGGUCAUGACUGGGUAGAACAAUGUGUGUUGGUCUAAUCUUGUCCACGGUAAGCCUUUUCCCAUAAAUUGACGGCUUUGCUGCUGACUCGGGCAAUUCCAAGAUUUUUUUAAUUUGAAAGGAGAGCAAUUACAAGGCUCUUUCAUUUUUUUGCCCCAAGGUUCUUCCAUAACUUACUUGUAAAAAUGUUAUUAUUUUUUUUGAAAGAUUAUUUCUCUAACAAUUUGCACUAUUUUUUAAUUUUAGGUUGAGGGUCAUAAAAUU